rnacentral:rRNA from 1 species
CUGCUGCCUCCCGUAGGAGUCUGGGCCGUAUCUCAGUUCCAAUGUGGCCGUUCAACCUCUCAGUCCGGCUACUGAUCGUCGCCUUGGUAGGCCUUUACCCCACCAACUAGCUAAUCAGCUGCAAGCUCAUCUAUUAGCGGAUUGCUCCUUUCCACUUCCAUCAUGCGAUGAUUAUGGCAUAUGCGGUAUUAGCAAUGAUUUCUCACUGUUAUUCCCCUCUAAUAGGCAG